UCUGGCAGCGGUAACAAAAAGGGCAUCAUGAGUUAAGAGUCCAUUUACCCCAAAUGAGAUUGUUUCUGUGUUGGUUACUGUUUUUACACUGCAUGUUGCUACUCUUUUUUUGUUGGAGUAAAAGGUGCCCAGCAGCCUUCAGCCCACAUUGUCAAAUGAUGUCUGGGCUGUGUCCUCCCGUGCCUACUGAACUGGUAUCAGUGUUUAACCUGAAAACUGGCUCAGUUCAGCAGGAACAGGAGUGGAGCCCUUGUACUAGCAAUCUCUGUCACGUGCCACCUCACCAGCUCACAGCGAGCGAGACAGCGAGACAGCGAGACAGCCGAGCCCAGAUUUGACAUUUCGGCUGCCGUGUUCAAUUGACCACACCCAGAGCAGCGUGGGAUGUUGGCUUCCAGCCACUGGCCGUGUUGAAAGUCAAACGCCGACCCCUUGCAACCUGUCAGACGACAGCAGUGAACCUCGAAGUGUAUGCAAAGCGGAGCAGCUCGAGCCUGAUCGCUGCCCCUGUCUUUGAUCAAAUAUGAAUGUUUCAUAAGCAGAUUUACCAUUUUUUGGUGUUAUAGCGAGGCCCUGACGUCCCGAGCCGCUGAAUACUGUUACAUACUGAUGCGGUCGAUCUUGUUGUUCUGCUCAGCCUUCAUGUUUAUUUUAGCAUUCCUCCAUGGACAAAGGCUGCAAACACGUCUCCUGCUCUCUCACGCUCGUGUCUCUCUCUCUCUGACUCCUUCUCUCUCUCUUUUUUUUUUGUCUGUCUGUGCUGUCAAAGGCCGGACCGAGACUGGAGUUCAUUGUGAGAUAAUUUGCAGCCACCAUGGGAAAAGUGCUUCAUCCUGAAGAUAUUCAUACCCACAGGACAAUGGAGGCUCGUUAGCAAACGUGAUGAAUCUGCUCUUACUCAGCGACUCUGCUGAUCCUGGUUGGCACCUUAAAAAUUAUUUUUCUGUCUCGAGAUUACCCACACAAUAGUUAGAAAGUUGUUUUUUCAUCGUGUCAGUGGUGUGAUAUUGUCUUCGGGGCAUUGUUCAGCCAGGUGCUACAAGUGAGCAAUGAGUUGUGUAAGCAUUUAAUCUAACCGAAUACAGGGGACAAUGUUGCGUGAACUUCAUUAUUCUAAAUGUCAGCAAGUUUCUAACUAUUAUCCAUCAUUAGGAGCAUAAUUUAUUUUCAUGUUACAGGUGCAAGCGAUGUUUCAUUUAAUUACUAAUCUAGCCAGGAUUUAAUUGAAUAAAGUUUGAAUGAGUCUGAUAAAGAAUUCUAGCUUUGUUUUUGUUCAGUAUCAUAAAAUGACAUGAUUUAAUCCCCUGGGAGGCAGACAUGUUGCACCAGGAAAGACACAAGUGGGAGACAUUACAGGUAAUUAAAAAUGUGACAAGACCCCUGUUGUUCUCAGAAAUUAUGAAAAGAUGGGUUCAAUAGCACAGGAUUGAAAUAUUGUCAUGUCUUUAAUAGUCAACACUGUUGAGGAGACCUGUGUCACAAUUAAUUGUUCCUUUGAUAAUGAAAUGCUGUUAAAUGAGUUUACUGUUUAAAACAGUUGUAUGUGGGGGUAAAAGCCCUUAAAACUAGACUUUUUGGAGUUUAACAAAUGUUGACAUUGGGUGAUACAUAGUUUUUCAUUUUUCAUUUCAUUUCAUAAUAAUUUAUUUCGCCCAUUUCAGUGUUACCCAAAACUAUUUUACAAAACCAAACAAUACAUCUAUAUACAGUACAUGUUCCAUGAACGAAAAAGGAGCAGGAAGAAGAAUCUGAAUUUUCACGGUGGAAAAUAAACUUUACAGACAAUGCAACUGACUAGUUAACUGAAUAGGAUUAAGAUUUAUUUAUUUUUAAAUAGAAAAAUAUAUAAUUUUAAAAUAACGUUUCCUGGGUAAGUUGGAACUUAGUGUAACUUAUUGUCAGAAUUGAACAAAUGAAUUUGAGUAAACUGCAAAAGGUCAAAAGUUUAAAUUUGGGUUGUUAUAUCCAGCUGCAGGCUGCUGUUUCAUACAAUGAAGUCAAUAAAAUGACAAUACACA